rnacentral:lncRNA from 1 species
GCCCAUGUGAGCUCUUGAUAAGAUACUAAGCAAGGUCAAUUUCUCCAUAGUAAUUACUACACAUCACAAUUAGUUUAAAGAGAAUUCUGAGAUCUUUGUUGCACCAUGAGAAUCUAGUUCAGAUUCUUGAUGCUGAAUGUGAUGAAUUAUAUUCAAAGACAAGGUCCUUCUGCAAAGACUUCCCCAGAUGUUCUAAAUUGAAUACAAAAUCCUUUGCUUUUGUACCCCGAACAGGUUUUGGGGGCUGGUCUAACAUGAUGAUGAUUCUCUUUGGUGUUCAGCAGCAGGUUCUCAAGGGUCUUAAGCAUCACCUAGGUGUAGUAUUGAAAAUUAUUCCGCACUAAAUUGUCUCAAAAGUUGUGAAACAGGCUAAUAUUUCUGACUUGGGUCUGUUUUACAUCAAGGCCCAAACUCUUUUCACAUUGCUGGUUUGUCUCAGACAGGUUAGCUUAGACUAAGGAACACACCAGGUACUGGGCCACCAGUGCUCACUGACUCUGCCUUAAGUUUGUUUGAUGACACCAUGUGACAGAUGAACAUUUUAUACCUCUGUUUUAUACCUGUCAGUCACUCAAGGAUUUGGGAUUUACAGAAGGGAAAAAGCCCUAUUGUAAGAAAUACAACUAUUGGCAGGGGGGAGUAGUGGGGGUGCCUAGAUGGCUCAGUGUGUAGAGCAUGGGACUCUUGAUUUCAGGGUCAUGAGUUCAAGCCCCAUGUUGGGCCUGGUGCCUACUUUAAAAAAAGGAAAGAAAUGUAACUAUUGCUAGUGGCUUUAAAGCUCUACAGAAUAACAACUAAUGGCUUGAGUGAGAUGACUUCCAAGUUUAAAUGAACCUGCAUAAAGAAUACAAAUAACUGAGGGGGGAAAAAUCUUGAAAUUUUAAUAUCCCCACUUAGGUAGAAAGUCUGCAGGUCGCACGCAAAUGAAAUCAUUAGAAUGAGGUCAGACAAGCCACACAAUACCCUGAUGCUUAUCUCUGGUAACUAAGUCUGCAGAAAAAGCCUCAUUUAAAUAAAUCUUUUGUUUCUAAACUUUCCUUACAUGAAACAGCACUGUUUGGUAAAGGCCAAAUUCCUGGUGGUUAUCUCACUAAGGAAGCAGACAUUUUUGAGAAUGCCAGUUAAAGGGAGACCUACCCCCUCACACAAGACUCAUUCUGUUGAAACUAGCAACAUAGCAUCUUCCCUACGGUGAGGGUCCUGGUCCUGUCUGUGAUGAAGUUACCAUUUCUACAACCCCCACUUCACCUGCAGUAUGGGUUUUGCACAUGAAGGAAUCUUUCGGAAUCUUCCCAUCCUCCUACAGGCCAGCAAUGUUCCCUCUCUCCUCAGAACUCCCACUCAGAAGGAAUUGCCAGGACAUUCCUCUGUUUGCCUAUUAGCAGAGUCAGGGAUAUCAGAGUAUUUGCAAGCCAGCUCGAGAGCCUUUGAUGGCUUUCAUGUUCCGUUGAAAACAAAAUGUUAAUUAUGUAAGAGGAAGAUGCUGUGCAUGUCAUCAUUUUGUGCUAGAUUUCAUAAGUUCUAGAUCUGAUCCUGCCCCAAGUUGUCAUUUCAUUUCCUGUAAAUAUACCUCUGCAACCGCCACCAAAUAACCAAACACCAAAAUCUGAUGUUUCUGUUCCAUCACUGGGUUAGUGUCCUCCCUUUUCCCUGUCCUUCUUUGCAGCUCUGCAUGUUAGCACUUUUCCUCUGUACCAGGCAUUGUGCACUGAGCUAGGGACACACGAGACAGAAUGUGUUUCCUGCCUCUGAGCAGCUCACAGUCUUGUUUGGGGAGACAGAUAUAUAAAUAAUCCAGUUUCCGUCAUUUCAUUCCCCCAAGGCUUGCACACCCAAACCCAUCACCAGCCUUCCCUAUAGUUUCUCUCAUUUUAGUUUGGUUUGGGUGGGGAGAACACUUCUAUACAUUUGGAGAUUUUCCAUAGUGUAGGAAUAAUGGCUGCAAGUGAAAUUUGUCUAGCUCCUCACACAUAUACAACGAGACAGAAUUUGUGUUCCCUGUUGAUUUGCAGAGAAGCAAGAACCUUUGCAAAGAUGGAUUCCAAACCAGGAGACCCCCAUUGUCCCAUAAAUAGGCCAUCACAUGAGCAGGUCCUAGGAAAGGCUGGGAAAGAGAACUCUUGUGAUCUCAGAACCCACUCUCCCCUUAACCUCCUCUUCCAGACAAAGCAGACCUGAAGUGUUGACUUUGGCAGUGGGAGGACUGGCCAGUAGCCUACAGCUCAGUGAAUAAAAUUAAAAUCUUGAGUGGAUGGGGAGAGGGAGGUAUCUCCAACACUAGCAGCCAUCAGAAGGGUCUGUACAGAGGUGGCAGAGAAAAUAAUUCCAUUUCCAAUGAGUCUAGAGGCGUGAAGAGGCAAAUCAACUUCAUAAACAGCCCUGAAAUUGGUUGGUUAUGACCAUGAUGGGUGGAAACACUGAGCUUCACUCCAAUUUCCCUUGAUGUUAAUCACACCCAGGAAAUUGAAGGCCUUCCUCAUUUCUUUGUAGUGUGCUAUAGCUAAUGCCUAUUCUUCUCUGGGGUUUGGACAAAUCAUAGCAUUGACUCCCCAAGCUUCUGAUCUGGAUCAGUGCUGGGUGGCCCUUGAGUCAGGCCACAUUGCCUUUAGGAAAACCUUCAGUCUUGUCCUGGGGGGAUUUCUCCUCUGAUACUUUAUGAUGAUGGCAGCCUGUGUCUCCUCAAAUACUCAAAGCAACAGAAUUAAAACUUGGGUAUUCUAUAGAUCUGGCACUUGCUAUCCUCAUCAAGAUAUGUUGGAUCCUGACAGGCUCUGGAGGUGGGUGGGAGGUCUGGAGGUGGGUGUGGGUGCAGCAGCCAUGCAUGCAUCUCCCUACUUCACAGUGGUUCUGGUUUCAACAAUUGUGACUUCUGAUCCCCGUACACCUUGAAAUUGUAUUGUUUUGGCAUCCAAGUUAUGUCUUCCAGACAGCCUCUCAUACCCGGAAGCAGUGCUUUAAAACUUUUGUCAGGCCAUAUCUGGAGUUUUGGUUCCAAAAAUGCCAUUGUGGGUUAGCUAUACAGGGAUUUAAAAAGCACAACUCUAGUCUUGCUUUUGGGGCGCAGGCUGGGCUCAGGGGCUUGGCGUGGUGGGAAAAAGGGGCCAAGAUAGUGGUUGGCACAAGGAUAGGGAGAACUUUGGAAGUGGAGCCAGAGACUGUGAGGAUUGAGGCCCAGGAAAGUUUGGCACAAGUAAAAGCUGGGUAUUUAACCAGGAACAGUCCCUCUAUUUUUCUCAGCCUUGGCAGCAGGUCAGAGCAACAAGCAGUUCUAGCAAGGUCCACAUCCUUCCUAUUGUCUCCACCCCAACCUCACUCAUCGUCCCAAACAUCUGCUUCAGAUUUGGGCCCCUGCCUUCUCCCUGAUUCCUGUACCAAACCGCGAGGGCGAGGGCGAGGGGCAGGUCUGCAGGUGUGGGAUGGGGAAUAAGAGGAAGUGGAAGGUUUUGGGGAAAGUCGCUGAAAGAUUUUGUUUCAGGUGCUGCAGAAGGAUUAAGGGUCUGACCUUUUUCUUCUUCUUUUUCUUUUUUUUUCAAUGUGCAUGUAUAUCCCCAGAAUCUAACCAGUAAGUUGUUUCACUCUCUGGGUCAAGGGAGCAACUGAGGGAGGGAAUUGGGACCAGCUGGGGAUGUCUUUGGGCCAUCACAUGGCCUGCUUUUCAAAGGCAGCUCAGAGUCACUCCAAAGGGAGAAACUAAAGUCAUUAAUGUCCACAAUGAACAGUUGAGAAGUGCUAAUGAGGUAGUAAACAUUCUUCUCCAGCUAGCAGCUGCCUGGAGGCUGAAGCAGAGCUGUGAACCAAGCCCAGGACUAGAGGUGGCAGGAGAGAAGAAACCAGCCGGUGCUAGCAGUUAGUCAUGGCAGCCUCAAACAUCUCACUGGGACGAAUUUAAACUUUCUCUAGCACCUGCCCUGAAAUGUCAGUUCUUUCUUUCUAUCUAUCUAUCUAUCUAUCUAUCUAUCUAUCUAUCUAUCUAUCUAUCUAAAGAUUCAUUUAUUUAUUUAAGGGAGAGAGAGAAAGGGAAAGUAUGGGAGAAGGGCAGAGGGAGAGGGAGAGAGAAUCCCAAGAAGACUCCCUGCUGAGUGCAGAGCCUCACCAGGAGAUCAAUCCCAAGACCCUGAGAUCAUGAUCUGAGCCAGAACCAAGAGUUGGACACUUAACCGACUGAGCCACCCAGGAGCCCCGUCACUCCAUUUUAAGUGACAGAAACUCCCCAAGGGAAAAUACUGGGGAGUCUUAGGGAGUAAUCUCGAACUCUUAGAUUAGUAAUAGCCAGCAUCUAAUACUGUGCCAUGCCCUGCUGAAGGUACUGCCUGUGUUAACUCAUUUAAUCUUCACAUCAAUCUACAAGGUACGGACAAAUUAUUUCCAUGUUACAGAUGAAAAACUGAGGCACAGAGAAGUAACUUGCCCAAGGUUGCAUGUCCAGUGACGAGUCUAGGUGUUAAGUUGGCCCUGACACUUUAUCUCAUAUGAGCUCAAAAGAGGUAGAGUUUGAGGGCAGGACAGUCAAACCCACAGGAUGCUGGUAAGAAAGUGCUAGUGUUCGGCUCAUCUUCCAAAUCAGAGACAGAUUGUGUGGCCUCUGACUUCUGGGGCUCCAGGAAGCCAGUCUGGCAGGGCUUCUCCAUCGGGUCCCACUGUUCUGUGCCUCCUGAGGCUUCCACUGCCCUUCCAGGUCAGAGCUUACACUUUCCACGCCUCUCUUCAGGGCAGGAGGUACCCCUCCAUCCACCUAGAUGAGCUGGGGGAAGCACCUUAGAGACUUGCCCCAGCUCCAGGCCCCUCGGGAAGAAGAGGCCCUGAAGGGUAGGAGUUGGCUAGGCCCUGUGUGCUGCCAGGAGCACCAUUAAACUUCAAAGCCGAGGUAUGGGAACCAGGCCCAUCACUUGGCUGGGAAGUUGAGAGCCUCGGUGACAUACCAACUCACCCUGGCAGGGCCUCUAUCUGCAGAGAAGCGACCUCAUGGGUAGCGACCGGCUGAGGGCCUCUUCCAGCUGCUGCUGCCAGAGUUUCUCCAGAGCCCAAUCAUGUCCCUUUUCCAUAGGAGAGAAGCAUGUGCUGGUGAGAGGUCACAGGGCCCUCUCCUGACUGGACCAGAGCCCCAUGGACAGUGGGUCGCAAGCAUGAAAUGAACAAGCCCAGGUGAUGCCUGCCUUUGAGCCUUUGCUUAUGGUGGGCACUCCUUGCAGACUACUGCCCAUCUCGGUCCCUCCAACCACCUUGCCCUUCAGACCCAGCUCAGGUCAGAACAGGUGAGGGCUAAAAGAAUUUUUUAAAAGAAUUUGUUUAUUUGGCAGCAUGCGCACAAGCAGGGGGAGUGGCAGGUAGAGGAAGUGGCAGGCAGAGGGAGAGGGAGAAGCAGACUCUCCACUGAGCAGGGAGCCCCAUGUGGGGCUCCAACCCAGCACCCUGGGAUCAUGACCUAAGCCAAAUGCUUACCGACAGAGCCACCCAGGUGCCCUUAGGUAAGAGAAUAUGGAAAGUGCUUCCAGUCUAACACACAUGGAGCCUUAAAAAAAAAAAAAAAAAAA